rnacentral:rRNA from 1 species
UAAAACCAGCACCUCAAGUGGUCAGGAUGAUUAUUGGGCCUAAAGCAUCCGUAGCCUGUUCUGAAAGUUUCCGGUUAAAUCCAUUAACUCAACUAAUGGACUGCCGAAAAUACUACAGAACUAGGGAGUGGGAGAGGUAGACGGUACUCGGUAGGAAGGGGUAAAAUCCUUUGAUCUAUUGAUGACCACCUGUGGCGAAGGCGGUCUACCAGAACACGUUCGACGGUGAGGGAUGAAAGCUGGGGGAGCAAACCGGAUUAGAUACCCGGGUAGUCCCAGCUGUAAACGAUGCAAACUCGGUGAUGCACUGGCUUUUGGCCAGUGCAGUGCCGCAGGGAAGCCGUUAAGUUUGCCGCCUGGGAAGUACGUACGCAAGUAUG